UUGGCGGAUGAUGUGGCUAGUGGUAAAAUCAAACACGGUCUGGGGACACAUUACGCGAGAAGUAUUACUUAUGGCGGAGAACUGGCUGCAAGUCUGUCAAUUAAAAACACAUCCUCGUCGGAAAGACUGGAUAUACGAGGGAGUGCUUCAGGUGCGGUAAAGGCUACAGCAGUUGAUGUUAGUUUAAAAGCCCAAUUAGAGAAACUCACAACUGAAUGCUCGGGUUUGUCAGACAUAUCCAUCAAGUAUUACUCCACAGAUUUGUCAUCCAAAGCUCCAACAAAUCUGAACGAACUUGUGAAACUGAUUGAGGGCUUUCCUUCGAGGUUG